GAACUGAAGAGUUUGAUCAUGGCUCAGAUUGAACGCUGGCGGCAGGCCUAACACAUGCAAGUCGAGCGCAGCACGGGUACUUGUACCUGGUGGCGAGCGGCGGACGGGUGAGUAAUGCCUAGGAAUCUGCCUAGUAGUGGGGAUAACGUUCGGAAACGGACGCUAAUACCGCAUACGUCCUACGGGAGAAAGUGGGGGAUCUUCGGACCUCACGCUAUUAGAUGAGCCUAGGUCGGAUUAGCUAGUUGGUAGGGUAAAGGCCUACCAAGGCGACGAUCCGUAACUGGUCUGAGAGGAUGAUCAGUCACACUGGAACUGAGACACGGUCCAGACUCCUACGGGAGGCAGCAGUGGGGAAUAUUGGACAAUGGGCGAAAGCCUGAUCCAGCCAUGCCGCGUGUGUGAAGAAGGUCUUCGGAUUGUAAAGCACUUUAAGUUGGGAGGAAGGGCAUUAACCUAAUACGUUAGUGUUUUGACGUUACCGACAGAAUAAGCACGGCUAACUCUGUGCCAGCAGCCGCGGUAAUACAGAGGGUGCAAGCGUUAAUCGGAAUUACUGGGCGUAAAGCGCGCGUAGGUGGUUCGGUAAGUUGGAUGUGAAAUCCCGGGCUCAACCUGGGAACUGCAUCCAAAACUGCCGAGCUAGAGUAUGGUAGAGGGUGGUGGAAUUUCCUGUGUAGCGGUGAAAUGCGUAGAUAUAGGAAGGAACACCAGUGGCGAAGGCGACCACCUGGACUGAUACUGACACUGAGGUGCGAAAGCGUGGGGGAGCAAACAGGAUUAGAUACCCUGGUAGUCCACGCCGUAAACGAUGUCGACUAGCCGUUGGGAUCCUUGAGAUCUUAGUGGCGCAGCUAACGCAUUAAGUCGACCGCCUGGGGAGUACGGCCGCAAGGUUAAAAACUCAAAUGAAUUGACGGGGGCCCGCACAAGCGGUGGAGCAUGUGGUUUAAUUCGAAGCAACGCGAAGAACCUUACCUGGCCUUGACAUGUCGAGAAGUCUGCAGAGAUGCGGAUGUGCCUUCGGGAACUCGAACACAGGUGCUGCAUGGCUGUCGUCAGCUCGUGUCGUGAGAUGUUGGGUUAAGUCCCGUAACGAGCGCAACCCUUGUCCUUAGUUACCAGCACGUUAUGGUGGGCACUCUAAGGAGACUGCCGGUGACAAACCGGAGGAAGGUGGGGAUGACGUCAAGUCAUCAUGGCCCUUACGGCCAGGGCUACACACGUGCUACAAUGGUCGGUACAAAGGGUUGCCAAGCCGCGAGGUGGAGCUAAUCCCAUAAAACCGAUCGUAGUCCGGAUCGCAGUCUGCAACUCGACUGCGUGAAGUCGGAAUCGCUAGUAAUCGUGAAUCAGAAUGUCACGGUGAAUACGUUCCCGGGCCUUGUACACACCGCCCGUCACACCAUGGGAGUGGGUUGCACCAGAAGUAGCUAGUCUAACCGCAAGGGGGACGGUUACCACGGUGUGAUUCAUGACUGGGGUGAAGUCGUAACAAGGUAGCCGUAGGGGAACCUGCGGCUGGAUCACCUCCUUAA
rnacentral:rRNA from 1 species